UACGUAGGGGGCUAGCGUUGUCCGGAUUUAUUGGGCGUAAAGAGCGUGUAGGCGGCCAGGUAGGUCUGCUGUGAAAACUCGAGGCUCAACCUCGAGACGUCGGCGGAAACCAUCUGGCUAGAGUCCGGAAGAGGAGAGUGGAAUUCCUGGUGUAGCGGUGAAAUGCGCAGAUAUCAGGAAGAACACCCGUGGCGAAGGCGGUCGU
rnacentral:rRNA from 1 species